rnacentral:lncRNA from 1 species
GUAAGUACUGAGAUUGUUCUCCUGACCGCUGAUGGCAGGUCCGCUAUAAGGUCGUAGAAGACUAUAAUGGUGCCUGUUGCCCUUUGAACCGAGGAGUCAGAACCUUCUUCACAAGCCCCUGCACUGAGGAGCCUCGGAUUCAGCUGCAGAAAGGGGAGCUCGUCUUAGCAACCCGAGGGUUACGAUACUGGUUGUAUGGAGACAAAAUUCUUGAUGAUUCCUUCAUAGAAGGUACUUCAAGAAUAAGAGGGUGGUUUCCUAGAAACUGUGUAGAAAAGUGCCCCUGUGAUGGAGAGUCAGAUCCAGCCCCAGAGGGCGAGAAGAAGAACAGAUAGCCACGGUUAAAGUGAGAUCAUUACGUCUUCAUUACUUGAAAAUCCACACAUAGUACCUGAGAAUUAUGCAACAAGCCUACUAUGCCUAAGGUAUUUUCCUCAAAGAUGCCCUCGUGCCAUGACUUCAGAAAUUUUUAUUACCAUUUUGAAACAGAAGCCAUUCUGCAUAUGCCUUUGAAGUCCUGCCAUCUUCCCACUUCUUCCUACUAAAGGAAGGCCAUUCCAGCCAAGUAAGCCAGCUGCCCUUUCUGUCUGCUGCACCUGUGACUUCACCUGCAGGUCUGAUUCCCACCUGGACAGGAGCAUCUUGCAUGUGCUUAUUCUGUUUCUUCCUCAGUUGACAUUUCCUCCAUAAUCUAGAGACUGUAAAACCUGUCAGAUUCAGUGUAAACUCAAAUUUUGUUACUUUUAAUAAUGCAAAUUUUGUCAAAUUCAAUAAAGGUCAAUGGAUGUUCUGUA